rnacentral:tRNA from 1 species
ACUCUCUCUGCCACACCAAAUUUUAUUUAAUAAAUAAUUAUUUAAGGCCUAGGUA